AUUGUCAAUGUUAUAUUAUAUGGAAAAUAUAAUAAACAUGUGAUAUGAUUUCCUGAAAUUUUCUAAAAUUAUUAAAUGCUAAUUGCAUAUCAAUUAAUAUCGAGCGAGAUUGGGGGUUAAUAUAUUAUUAAAUUGAUGUUAAUAAUUAGGAAUUUUUAUUUGAAUAUUUUAUUUUUGCUCAUAUGCUAUUUUUAGUUUUU
rnacentral:lncRNA from 1 species